UUCUGCUGAGACCUGCAGGGAUGAGGCAAAAUCUCUGUGGGUGAAGAAUCUUCCUAAGGGUGAGGCCAUUCACCCAGAUAAAGACCGGACUCCUCAGACAGGAAACAGGAAGUGGAGACUGGGCUAGCUGGAAGAGACAUUGCAGGCUCCUUUUCCUUGGUCUUUGCUUCAAGAAACCUAAAUGCCUAUGAGUUCACUCCUGAGCAUUGUUGGUUAAAGAUGAUCAUGGUCGUUGGGCAAAACCCGGGCUCUGGACAGAAGGAGACCCCUGAGGGGCAUCACAGGCUAAAGAAAACGCUAAUUGAGGAGGAGAUCACUGAGGAGCUGAGAAGCCUCCAAUCCAUCUGAAGCUGUCCACAGGGCGCAAGCUGGUGAAACCAUAGAAAUACAAAAGGCUCCAAAACAUGUUAAAACACAGCACCGCUGACGUGCAGAGAGCAGAUGGCAACACACAACCCCACAGCCCACAGCCGAAGGUCCUAACAUCUCAGUAACCUGUUCUGGAAUCCACUAGGAAGAAAGCCUGAAGCCUCGUGUCCCUUCUCCCCAAGAGUGAGCUGUGUUGAUUUAUUCCAGGCAGAUGCUUUUGACAAG
rnacentral:lncRNA from 1 species